rnacentral:rRNA from 1 species
GGGGAAUUUUGCGCAAUGGGCUAACGCCUGACGCAGCAACGCCGCGUGGAGGAUGAAGGUCCUUGGAUUGUAAACUCCUGUCAGCAGGGAAAAAGCGACUUAGCCUAAUACGCUAGGGAGUUGAUUGUACCUGCAGAGGAAGCCACGGCUAACUCUGUGCCAGCAGCCGCGGUAAUACAGAGGGGGCAAGCGUUAUUCGGAAUUAUUGGGCGUAAAGGGCGCGUAGGCGGCUUGGCAAGUGGAUGGUGAAAUCCCUCGGCUUAACCGAGGAACUGCCAUCCAGACUGCUUUGCUUGAGGCCGGGAGAGGUGAGUGGAAUUCCCAGUGUAGCGGUGAAAUGCGUAGAUAUUGGGAGGAACACCAGUGGCGAAGGCGGCUCACUGGACCGGUUCUGACGCUGAGGCGCGAAAGCGUGGGGAGCAAAC